rfam:Devosia geojensis strain BD-c194 NODE_64, whole genome shotgun sequence.
CCUCAGGACAUCUCGCCCUAACGCGAGACAAUCGACCUGGGAGGGUCGCUCAU